AAGGAGUCUAACAUAUCUGCGAGUGUUUGGGUGGAAAACCCGAGUGCGCAAUUAAAGUGAAUGCAGGAGCGACGCGCAAGCAGCAGCAUCGACCGAUCUGGAUCUUUAGUGAUGGAUUUGAGUAAGAGCACAUAUGUUGGGACCCGAAAGAUGGUGAACUAUGCCUGAAUAGGGCGAAGCCAGAGGAAACUCUGGUGGAGGCUCGUAGCGAUUCUGACGUGCAAAUCGAUCGUCAAAUUUGGGUAUAGGGGCGAAAGACUAAUCGAACCAUCUAGUAGCUGGUUCCUGC
rnacentral:misc_RNA from 1 species